GGAGAGGAUAGCAAUCCCGGCAGUCGCCCUACUGACGGUAAAAGCUUUUCACCAUCCGACUGUUCUUUCCUUUGCCACAGUGCCUUGUGGCAAUGUAGAAGGUGGAGUCCCUCCUAGCUGCAUCUCUGAAUGAAGAUAUUCUGGACCAGUGUCCCCAGCUCCCUGGUUACUGGUGAGAAACUCAUUGGACUAUGGGACCCUAAAAAUAACAUCCAUUAACAUCUGACAAAGGAACACAUUUUUGGAAACUGUGCCCUUAGCAAUUUUCCUCUUUCCAUUGCAAAUUAAACUCAUCCAGUGGGUCUACUGAAAA
rnacentral:lncRNA from 1 species